GUUGUCCAUGUCUCUACCCAGGCUGCUGUGUAGUCUACUAGUGAUGUCUCCCUACCUGCUGGUGACCAUCAUACUGCUGGUGAAAUACUGCAGGAGCAGGACUCAAGGGGAAACCAGGGUACCCAGGAAGACACACCAAGACCAAUUAGGUGAUCGUGUUGAAGAAGAGUGAGGCUGAG